rnacentral:rRNA from 1 species
UACGAAGGGGGCUAGCGUUGCUCGGAAUUACUGGGCGUAAAGCGCACGUAGGCGGCUCUUUAAGUCGGGGGUGAAAUCCUGGAGCUCAACUCCGAGCCUGCUUCCGAUACGGGCAGACUAGAGGUAGGCAGGGGAGAGCGGAACUCCUGGUGUAGCGGUGGAAUGCGCAGAUAUCAGGAAGAACACCGGUGGCGAAGGCGGCUCUCUGGGACGGUAUUGACGCUGAGACGCGAAAGCGUGGGGAGCAAACAGG